AGUGAACGCUGGCGGUAGGCCUAACACAUGCGAGUCGAACGGCAGCACAGUAAGAGCUUGCUCUUACGGGUGGCGAGUGGCGGACGGGUGAGGAAUACAUCGGAAUCUACUUUUUCGUGGGGGAUAACGUAGGGAAACUUACGCUAAUACCGCAUACGACCUACGGGUGAAAGCAGGGGAUCUUCGGACCUUGCGCGAUUGAAUGAGCCGAUGUCGGAUUAGCUAGUUGGCGGGGUAAAGGCCCACCAAGGCGACGGUCCGUAGCUGGUCUGAGAGGAUGAUCAGCCACACUGGAACUGAGACACGGUCCAGACUCCUACGGGAGGCAGCGGUGGGGAAUAUAGGACAAUGGGCGCAAGCCUGAUCCAGCCAUACCGCGUGGGUGAAGAAGGCCUUCGGGUUGGAAAGCCCUUUUGUUGGGAAAGAAAAGCAGCAGGUUAAUACCCCGCUGUUCUGACGGUACCCAAAGAAUAAGCACCGGCUAACUACGU
rnacentral:rRNA from 1 species